UUUAUUCAUCACCUCCAACCUUCAGCCAGGUUUUAACAUUCAUGUGAGCUCCUCUGAACUGGGAGGACUGGGACUGGUACACUGGAACACUUUGAGCCUAGUUAUCCUAAAAAAAACUUUUUUUUUUUAAAAAGGACAAAUUUUUGUCUUGCUGGCACAGUGUUGCUUUAGUGCUCUAAAGGGGGAACUUCACCCUAACAUUAAUGUUUGGUCUCCUCACUGAAAAGAUCGCAAAAAAUAGAUGCACCCGGUACAACCUGCAAAACAUAUAUAUGUAAUUGUUCACCUUCGGUACAAAGUAUUAUUAUGGAGGGGGAAAAUGUGUGCACCAAUCCAAUCAGACGAUAUCUCUUAGGCGCAGUUUCUGCCAAUCAAAGACAAGAUUUAAGAAACAAGGGGCGGAGCUACACAGAGCAAGCAGCAGCUCUGCAGAUACAGCUGAUCUGGACUGAACGCUGGAGUUACUGCUGAUGUGAACUGAGCCAAAAGCACAGGAUUUAAGGGUUCAGCUCAGUGGGAUGUGAUGUGAUCUUGGGCUGACAGGAACAUUUCGGCUUUUCCCGCUCAGUCCUCUGGUCUGAAAUGCACCCCUCAGAAGUGAUAUAGAGGCUUUCUGCCCCCCGAGAAGAAAGAGGGGGAACCUUCAGGACCGGCGUGUCUCCCCAGAAGCCUCUCUUUCCCGCAUCGAUUGGCCCUCAUUUCAAUCCCCGAG